AUUGAACGCUGGCGGCAGGCCUAACACAUGCAAGUCGAACGAGUGGCGGACGGGUGAGUAAUGUCUGGGAAACUGCCUGAUGGAGGGGUAUAACUACUGGAAACGGUAGCUAAUACCGCAUACCAUCAGAUGUGCCCAGAUGGGAUUAUCUUGUUGGUGGGGUAACGGCUCACCAAGGCGACGAUCCCUAGCUGGUCUGAGAGGAUGCCCAGCCACAAUGGAAAUGAGACAAGGUCCAAAUUCCUACGGGAGGAAGCAGUGGGGAAUAUUGCAGCAUGGGCGAAAGACUGAGGCAGCCAUCCCGCGUGCAUGAAGAAGGCCGUCGGGUUGUAAAGUACUUUCAGCGGGGAGGCGUUACCCGCAGAAGAAGCACCGGCUAACUCAGUGCCAGCAGGCGCGGUAAUAG
rnacentral:rRNA from 1 species